ACGUUGUGCCAAUUCACAUUCAAUUUUGUUUCUCUGGGAAAACGUUUUCCACCGUCAAAAUACAUAAAACGAUUCACCUUCAAUAUCUUUUUCCAAUUCACAUCCAAUUUCUUUUCUCAAUGCAACCCCUUCAAUUAUCAUCCUCUCUCCUUUCAUACCUUAACCACAAAGCCAACACAACUUUUGAAUGUACAUCGACCGCAUGCCGCCUCGCCGGCCGGAGACACCGCCAAAACAAUUUAAUAUCCGCCAUUAGGUAAACGCAACCCAUCUCUCUUUCUCUCUCCAUUUCACAUUAGGUCGAAGUUUUCACUAAAUGGUGGAACUGAACUCACUCCACUCAUGGAUGUGGAGAGGAGACAUGAUACACAUUUAGUUCUGCAGAGCUUUAUUUUGCCUUAAUACUUUUUCACUAAAUAGUGUUUUCAGGUUCUUUGCUUUGCUGGUUUUUUUACUUUAAUCCUUAAAUUUAGGGUAUCUUAAGAACUCGAUAUUUCCUUGCCAUUUGGGAUGAGUCUGCAAAACACAUAUUCCCGAUGAAAAGACAAUUGGUUGAGUGGUGCCUCUUAAUAAUGUGCAAAAGAGAGUUAAAAUAAGUGCAUAAAAAGAGUCCAAGGGUAAGAGACUUCGGCUGAGUUAUAGAAUGUUAGUUUGUCUAAUCUUAAAAAUUUGGUAGUGUGUCAAUGAGUUUGUUGUUCCACAAGUAGAUGCAUCAGCCUUCUUUCCCAUUUUAGUUCGUUUUGCAGCAACUGAGACAUUUAGUGACCUGAAGGUUUGUGUUUUUCUUUAUGCUCAUGAAGGUAAUUGUUAUGAUUCCUGUUAUUAUUUCUUAUAUCUUUGCUUUGUGUACAUGUAAACUAUAUAUUUUACUUGGAUAUAUAUUUUGGUUAGAAUUAUGGAAGUUGUUUUAAUUUUGAAAAUUAUAGAAUUGUGAUUGCUUAUGUUGCAGUGUUACAAUUGGCUCAUUUCAUUUCUAAGUAACAUCAAAUGUGAUGCUAUUUGUACAUCAUAGUUUAUUUGAUGUUAUUUGUACAAAUUCGGUUUCAUUCUCACUUCAUGUGACGCGUUAAUAUUAUGUUUUGUUUUGAUCAUGUUUUCUGUCAACAUAUAGACUACUGUUCUUAACUUCUUAAUAUGAUCUCUUUGUAAGGGUGUUUUUUUCUUCGAAUAAUAUUUGAUCUCUUUGUACAUGUGCUUUUUCGAAUACACAUCCAAAGUCACGCAACCUAUAAACUGCAAAGAUGAUGAAUUGCGCCCAGAUCUGUAUAGCGGGUUGUCAUUAGUGUCGAUUGCACAAGUUUGGUGAAUUGAUCGGUUUGGGUUGUUGUGGAGUUUCACCAUCAACUGCUGUAAUUUUGUUACUGGUUAUAUGUUUCAACCUCUAUUUGUUGCAAGGCUGUUUGUCAAAUAUAUAUGAUGCAAUACUGCUUCUGAGAGUAAUCGACGUUUUGCAAGUCCGAUAAGGUCGGUAAAGCAUUCCAACUGCUGGAGGAAAUGAAGACAAAGAGUCUACAACCCACUUCUGUAACUUAUGGUUCUAUUGUUGAUGGAGUAGCUAAAAUUGAAAGGUUGAGGAAGCAUACAUGUUAUUUGAAGAAGCAAAAUCAAUAGGACGUUUUUUACAUAUAUGGGGCUAAGGACAUAACAGAGAAAAGGUAUUGAUUUUUUUUUCAUAUUAUAAGCAGUUUGCAGGUAAUCAAAUGACGUCUUUCUUAUUAUCUUUUUGUCCAGCAAACCAUUUUUACUUGGUUUUGUAAAUGAUAUUAUAAAAACUUUAUUAAUAUUUUUUUAGUUUUUGACUUUGUGUUUGUUUGGUAGUAUUAAUUUAAGUUUUGUAGAUGUCAGAUAAUGAUUGUAUAACAAAUUAUAAACAUUGUGAAGAAUAAAUCUUGGGGAACAUAAAAUUU